rnacentral:miRNA from 12 species
CCUUUUCUAUGGAGCCAGGCUGGGAGAGCUGGGGGUGCUGACCUGGAGAGGAGAAGCUGCAGGGAAAGCUCAGAGCCCCUGGAGGGAUCCAGGAGAGCUGGAGAGGG